GGGAGGAGCCUGCUCUGUACUGCCAUCCACACCCUUCCUCUGUGGGUCACCAACAGUGCCCGUGGCACACGCAGGCGUGAUGCACUGGGAAUGCGGCUCAGGCCAGCAGACUGGGCACAGGACCUGGGUCCUGAGGAGAGGAUGGCCAUGGUUCCCGUGAGACUGUGAGCCCCGCAUUUGCUGUCUGGAGGGAGUCUCCUGAGUGCCUUGUGCUCAAGAGCUCUUCCUGGCCAGGGCUCCCUCAAUCAGGACAUGGAGUUAAGGCUCAUCCUCGCGUCCCUGCAUCUGGGCGGUGCCAGGAGCCGUGCUUCCCCUGGAUGCUUCUGGGAGCAUCUUCUGCAGAGUCCCAGCAGGGGUGACUUCGUUGCGUCUAUAUCACGGAGUACUUCGAGAAAUAUGGUACGACAGAGACCUAGAUGGAGCCCAAGAUGCUCAGCAAUUCUCCCUGCCGAAGGUGACAGACAAUGAUGCAGGGAUUUAUUCCUGUGGAUACUGGAAGCAAGGGACCUGGUCCAUAUGCAGUGAGUCACUGGAGCUGGUGGUGACAGGUGUCUACAGGGACCAGCCUUCCUUGACUGCCCACCCAGCUGCCCAGGUGGCCUCAGGAGGAAACGUGACUCUCUGGUGCCAGCCAGUCCAGCGCUAUGACACCUACAUCCUGUGCAGGGGAGGAGGUUCCUUCCCCCAGGACUGUUCUCGUCAGAACCACAGCUCCUUCCUCAUCUCUGCUGGGAGCCUGGACCAGAAUGAGACUUACACGUGCUACGGCUCUCACGACAACCCCCAGUUAUGGUCCCUGCCAAGCCACCCCUUUGUGUUUUCUGUCAUUCGUGAGUGACUUUACUUUGUUUCAGGAGAAGUCUUCCUGGUGGGGCAUCUCAUCCCCAGAUUACACAACAGAGAAUAUCAUCCGGCUGAGCCUGGGUAUCCUCAUCCUUCUUGUCCUUGGAGCUGUGCUGCUGGAUGCCUGGAAGGGCAGAAAUGGUCUCUGAGGUGGGACCAGACAGCUAAAGACUGAGAGCAUCAUUAACCCUUCAUGGUCCACAUCAUAUUCUGGAAUGAAUGAGCCAUCUAUGAAGAACAGAAAGUGACAAAUCAGCACAGGCAUCCGAGUAGAUGGAGCUCAAGCUUUUUGCUCACACUUUGUGGAGGAAACUGGACUCAAACUGUCACGCCCUGUAGGAUUUGAUUCAAAUGAAUUAUGAGGAUAGGAAAAGAAAUCAGUGUUGCCCAGUAGCUGGGAUAAAGAUGGGAAGUAGGAGUGGAAAUAUCUGAGGAAGGGCCUGAGGGAACUUUCUUAAGAGGUAGGAAUUUUCUAGAAUUUUACCAGACCAAUUUCUCUAUGUCUCAGUCUUGAUCAAAGCAUGUUAAAUUGUGUUCUUGGAACAUUGACUGUGUUUCCCUCCAUGGAAAUGCUGCCCCAGCUUAGCAGGCACAUGUGGAGUUCAUGAACACGAGCCUGCACUGAGGUUAGUCAUGAAACACUCACAGCAAAUGCAAAGUCGUGGUGGAGAGAGCAGUCUGUCCAAGCAGGGUGUGUUGCACCUAGAAAGCAGGUCAAGGUGAUAAUCAGACUCCGACAGUCCUGGAACUUAAUUUAAUAAACAUCGCUAAAGAGCUCACAUGUCAUACAAGAAGUACAGUGGAAAUUGCAAAAUGCUUUGAAGUAAAUGUUAAUGAGAACACAGUGCAUAUUUAUAAUAUAUACCCUCUAUAUAUUAUAUAUAUCUCUAUAGUGCUUGGGGAGAAUCAUAGGGUAUUAGCACAUACAUUAGCAAGGAAGAACAGAAUUAAUUAAUGGUUCAAUCAAGAAGAGUAACUUGAACAUAAUCACAAAGUGGUAUUUUAUACAGUAGCUAUGGCUAUAUUCUGUUAAUGCAUUAUGAAGUAUGUGUAUAAAGUACUUUUUAUUAAUGGUUCAAUAAAAUGACUGCUUCAUUUCUCAGCAAAAGAAGGAAGAAAACUUUAAAGAGAAAAUUUGACAGAGGUCAGUUGUGUGGAGAUGGUGAGCCCUCCACUCCACCAGAGCUUGGCUGAGCUUUGGCCACUUUGUAUAAGGCAGACAGUGCCCCAACAGCUGUGGAGAGCUGGUGAGUCCUACCCUGCACCCACUCACCCUCACCAGAGUUUGGCUGAGCUGUGGCUACUUCACCUGCCACCCAACCAGGUCACACACUCAGAGGACAGCUUUGAUGACCUGGUGAACUCUGCCUCCACCCCUCCCUGCACCAGUGUCAGAGCUUGAUUGAGCUGUGACCACCUCUCCUACCAUUGCAGUCACUGGAAGUCUGCUGAGGUACUGCGACCUGUCCCACCAGUCAUGGGAACCUUGGUGAGCCCUAUCCUGCACAGUCCCCCAUCAAAACAGCCUUGCCGAGCCUCUGUAUGCCCUCAUCAUCAUUGGAUUGUUCUUGAGCUGCAGUUUUAGCCCCUUUACUGAGGUGGAAGCCACAUUAAAGCCCACAGAGUGGGAGCUUUUGUGAGUCUAUGCCACACUCCCACUCUCAUGGGCGGAUUUGAUAACCUACACCCCGAACAACUACCAUCCCGGCAGUCAGAAUGAUCAUUGAGAGCUUCCAAAAUAUCAAAAGGAAGGAGCAGAAGGCAAUUUCAGACCUCCA